AAUUUUGGACAAUGGGCGCAAGCCUGACCCAGCCAUGCCGCGUUAGUGAAGAAGGCCUUCUGGCUGUAAAGCUCUUUCGGACGGAAAGAAAUCGCCCCGGCUCAUACCCUGCGCGGAUGACGGUACCGUCAUAAUAAGCCCCGGCUCACUACCUUCCAGCAGCCGCGGUAAUACGUAUGGUGCGAGCGUUAAUCGGAAUUACUGGGCGUAAAGCGUGCGCAGGCGGUUGAUUAAGACAGGCGUGAAAUCCCCGGGCUUAACCUGGGAACUGCGCUUGUGACUGGUCAGCUAGAGUACGGCAGAGGGGGGUGGAAUUCCACGUGUAGCAGUGAAAUGCGUAGAGAUGUGGAGGAACACCGAUGGCGAAGGCAGCCCCCUGGGCCGAUACUGACGCUCAUGCACGAAAGCGUGGGUAGCAAACAGG
rnacentral:rRNA from 1 species